AGUCACUGACAUUAGAUACCCGCGUAGUCCAGGGUGUAAACGCUGCAGACUUGGUGUUGGGGACCCUUCGGGGGUGUUCAGUGCCGGAGAGAAGUUGUUAAGCCUGCUGCUUGGGGAGUAUGUCCGCAAGGAUGAAGCUUAAAGGAAUUGGCGGGGGAGCACCGCAACGGGAGGAGCGUGCGGUUCAAUUGGAUUCAACGCCGAAAAACUCACCAGGAGCGACGGAUAUAUGAAGGUCAAGCUGAUGACUUUACCUGAUUUUCCG
rnacentral:rRNA from 1 species